CACCUGGUAGCACAUGGUGUGCAUCUGCAUGUAGUAUCUGUGUAGACGAGCUGCAACAGGAGGCCCCCGUUCAAUUCGGGGUCGGGUGA